AGUGAACGCUGGCGGUAGGCCUAACACAUGCAAGUCGAACGGCAGCACAGUAAGAGCUUGCUCUUACGGGUGGCGAGUGGCGGACGGGUGAGGAAUACAUCGGAAUCUACUUUUUCGUGGGGGAUAACGUAGGGAAACUUACGCUAAUACCGCAUACGACCUACGGGCGAAAGCAGGGGAUCUUCGGACCUUGCGCGAUUGAAUGAGCCGAUGUCGGAUUAGCUAGUUGGCGGGGUAAAGGCCCACCAAGGCGACGAUCCGUAGCUGGUCUGAGAGGAUGAUCAGCCACACUGGAACUGAGACACGGUCCAGACUCCUACGGGAGGCAGCAGUGGGGAAUAUUGGACAAUGGGCGCAAGCCUGAUCCAGCCAUACCGCGUGGGUGAAGAAGGCCUCCGGGUUGUAAAGCCCUUUUGUUGGGAAAGAAAAGCAGCAGGUUAAUACCCCGCUGUUCUGACGGUACCCAAAGAAUAAGCACCGGCUAACUUCGUG
rnacentral:rRNA from 1 species